CAGCCUAGCAAUCCAGGCAUGUUAGAAAGCUGGCCUUGUACUCUAUAUGGCUAUAUGCUUUGUGACGAAGAAACCAGACUCCUCGAGACAUCCGACUCAUUACAGAUUAACCUGUUGGAUGGAAAUUGGACUGUAGAUACAUAAAGUCCAUAUAGUUCUGUUGCUGUGCCCGGACUCACUCUCUGACCGGAGUUCUAGUGUGGAUGAGCUGCUCCAGCGAACCCACCUAACGCACCUACAGUCCGCUCUCCCCUACAAAAGGUGGUACCAAGCAGAUGCCCGCAGUCUCCCAAGCUGGAGGUGGCUGGUUCGAUCCCCCGUCUGAUUGAAUCUGUGCAAAAUGGAACAUCCGGGAAAGAACUGAGGUCAUGUCAGGUUCAGGAAGGACUUGCGUGACAUCUCCAACUAUCGAGUGCGACUUCAGACUCAUAUUUUUCCAGUAAAUGUAUCAGAUCAUCGGGAUUGUCCCUUUUGAUGUAACUUAUGAUACACAUCAAGUGUUUAUUCCUUCCUGAGUAGUCACAGAUGUUGUUUUAACUGGGACGCACAUGUGCUGCAUUCCACGCUCUCCUCUUUGAGCAGCGACAGCGCGGAUCCUUAAUGGUGACAGUGUUUUGUUCUCCGUGUCUCUGGGGAGAGAUAAUAGGAAGCGCUCCUCCUCGGAGGCAAGCGGGCCGGGCCAGACGAGGCUCUGUAAACAUGAGGGAAUGAAGAUUAAUCACACGCUAGAGAUGGUGCUCCCACUUUAAUAAUCGGUAUUGAUUACUGUCACCUUACAUCUGCAGCAACAGCUGCUGCGAGACGAGCCCGUUGCCCGAGGCCGGUCCACUUUACGCUCCCCCUGUUAAAUCAUUGCGUGUUGAGCGGAGAACAGGUGGGUUAUCGUGAGACACACACCAAUAAAUGUUAUGCAUUGACUUUGAAAUCAUAAUCCAAUACAAGCUUUCUCAGUGUGAAUGUUCAGCAACUGUACAGCAGGGGUGGGAAGAUGGAUCCAAAUGUCGAUGGUAUCGAUAACGAGGGUAGAAUCAGGUAGAAUCAUCCUAACUGUUAGCAUGCUGACAUUGAACAUGAAAACACUGUCUAUGUAAGUUUAUACCUUUGAAAAUAGCAAAAAUGCUAACAUGCUACUAGUUAGCACGCUAACGCCUAACAUGAAACCACUAGUGUAGAGUACUGCACAUUUUCGUAUCUUUCCAAUAGCAAGUGAAUACAGCGCUUUGUUGCUGACACUAUUACUGAUGCUGAUACUUGAAAUAUGAUUUCAUUGACAGAAUUUAUGAUCUAGCCUUUCAUUUGUUCAUUGUAAUUAUAAUAAAAAAAAACUGUCAACAAUUUAGCAAUAUAUAAAUAAAACAACCUAAGAAAAUAAUAUCAACUAAAUAAUAAAAUAAUGUCCUUUUAUUACAUGCAAUUUUUUCAGCAAAAUAAUUAAACAUGGCCAAAAACUACUAUUUGCUCUUAUUCAAAUAGUUGUUUUGUUUUUUCCCCAAAGCUGUCCUGUGUCUUAUAGUCCCUGAGUGUGUAAAACAUACAGUAUAUGCUGUAAGUUGAUCCAAUAUCAACAGUGUAGCAAUAUGAAUAACAACAAAAACACACAAGUAUCUGAGGAAAAAAAAUGAUCUCAUCAAAAUGGUAUCAAUCCAGUCCUGAUACCAGCCUUGGUAUCGAGAUCAUGAAUAUUUGGAUUGACCCGCCCAGACCUGUGAGUGGUGCAGGUAGCUUUGGAGCAAUGGAGGCCACAGGUGGAAAUAAUCCUCUUAUUGGACAGCAUGGCUGCGUUUGAACGCGACAACUUCUACAACCUGUGAGUUUAUGUCUGCGUUAUAUUCCUUCACGCUUCUGUUUGGCAAUGAUAUCAGUCCCUCCACGAUUGUUUGGGUCGAAAUAGUCACAAAGUUGUGCAAAAUUGAGGUGGAUUUUUUUUCCAAAGUUUUUUUGUUAUCAGUGUUGUUUGUCACUUUAGCCCCAAAAGUAGAGGAUUUCAAGAAAAUAUACAUUGCUUGCACACCAAGUGCAGAGCGUAUUGUUGAUGUUGACAGCAGCCCCUCCCCAGCACCUCACAAGCCUUUUUUGAGAUGCCUGAUUUGACAGGAAGUGGCACUGUUUGUUUGAAGUGUCUUUUUCCACCAAGGGCCACAUGCUGACAUAUCGAAACAUGUGGGGUCCACUUUUUCUGCUUAGAUUGCACUUUUCUGCUCAUUUUUUCCUUUUUUGUGAAUCUUUGUAUAAUAAUAAAGUCAUAAUAUUAUGACUUCAUCCCAAAUUAUUUUCAUUUCAUUCUCAACUUUUCCCAACCUAAUUUUCCAAAA